GAUUGGUCAUUUAAUUCUUGAAUCCUUCAUCUCUUGUAUCUUGAUUUCACUUAUUUGUUUAUAAACUGUAUACUGAUAGACAUUAUAUAUUUUAUUGAUUGUAACGUUUGAUUAAUAUUAAUAAACAAUUCAUUAGUCAUGCUCUACGGAUACAUAAACACUUUCACAUCUUCAAAUUUUUACGGUAAUACCGGAAUAUGAUACAUGUCCAUCGAUAUUUUAUAUAUGUAUUGACAGCUUCGAUGAACCGAAUGAAAUGCUUCAUAUUGUGUGCUCCACUGCCCAUGGAGAAUGACCUGAUAAUCUUUCUCACGAACACAAUACUAUAUAAGUAAACCUAGUUACCUACACAAGUUUAAGCUGAAAAAGAUAUAUGAAUGAUAGCAUGAAUUAAAGAGAAAAUGGAGAAAGUUAAAUGUGAACCAUGCAAAACCCGCGACAAAAACAACCAGUCAACUCAUUGGUGUGUUAUUUGUGAAGAGUCUUUUUGUUCAGACUGCACAGACAACCAUCGUGCCCAGAAAAUAUCGCGAAAUCAUGAACUCAUCGAUAUCAAUAGAAUGCCUAUGCAUACAAUUAUCGCAGACCAAUGCUGUUUCGAACAUGAUAACUUGCCAUUUGAGUAUUUUUGUAUCGAUCAUGAUAUUCUAUCUUGCAAAGAAUGUCUAGCAGAAAACCAUCGUUCUUGUCAAAAAGUGAUGUCUGUUGAUAUAGCAUCUAAAGGGGCCAAGCAGUCCCAGUCAUUUAUAGAUGCCAUGGAAAUUAUAGGCUAUGUUUUAGAAACAGCACAUGCAAUUGCUAAAGACGAAAAGAAAUUUGUUGAAAAUAUCGUAAAGGAAGAAAAUUCAGUCAAAAUGGCUGUAAGGAAAAUAAAAGAAGAAGCAAUCAGUCAUAUUGAAUCACUAGAAAAGUCACUGCUAUAUGACCUUGAUCUGAAAAAAAGACACAAUAAUACAAAAUUCAAAGACAACAAUUAGUGAAACAGAAGAUAUCGAAAAGAAGAUGAAAGACAAAAAAGAUGUGUUUGAUCUUGUGUACAAACAUGGUUCUGAGGAGCAAGCAUUUAUUGCUGCCCAUGCGUACAAACAAGAUCUAACUGAUUUCGAGAAAAAAGUAACUGGUAUCACAGAAAAGUCAACCAGAUUUACAAUACGGCUGAAACCGGAGAGAUUAAAGACAUCUUUUAAAUCUAUCGGGUCAAUAGAACUAAGCGAAGUACCUUCUGCCGUAAAAUUUGUUCAGAAGGAAAAAUGUCAAUCCCAAAUGCCAAUUGUUCAACAUCACAGUUUUCCAAACUUUCUUCAUAAACGAGAUUUAGACACGAAGUCUGGAAUUAUUUCCGGAAUGGCAGUAAAUGAGAAUGACGCAAUCAUCUUAGUUGACAACUUUGGAAGGGGAAGAAUACUAGUAUAUGACCAUAAUGAUAAUUACAGGUACCAAAUAGAAACCAAACAUCAACCUUGGGAUAGAGCUCUUAUCCCAGGGAAAAACUUAGGUGUUCUGACAUCUUAUGAAGAAGAAGUCUUCAGUUUGUUGACUUUGAUAAGAAAAACAUUUCUAGAACCGUGUCAGUAAAGGAAAGUGACCAGGGAGGCGUUGCUGUGGCAAAUAAAAACAUAUAUGUUGGAACAAAAAGGAACAUUAACAUUCUGGAUCUUGUAGGAAGAUUAAUUUGGUCAAUAAAAACCAAAAAAGAGAAGUUGCCAUCUUGGUUUAUUUCUUUGGAUAAAACUGGGAACAUCUAUUGCACUAAACAGACGUCCUGAGUUGUAUAAGAGGCGAUGGUACAGAAGUUUAUACAUAUUCCACACCAGAUAACGAUACUCUAUGGAACUUAGCAGUUGACAACCUUGGUUACAUUUACGUUGUUGUUAAGGAUAAAGGUGUAUAUAGACUGAAGCCGGAUGGAACAUUCAUGGACAUCGAAUAAAGGAUGAACAAUCUCCUAGUUUUAUAAGAAUUUGCUUUAACAUUAAAUUCACAAAAAUGAUCCUUUCGCGAAGCACUGUGGUUUCCAUGUUUAAUCAGAAAUAAUACAAAUCAUGCGUAUUUUUAAUAUAACUGUCUAAGAGAGCAAUCCUUGUACUUUUUUGUCAACAGAAAAGCUUUGAUUUUUCAAACAAUAUCAUUCAAGGGAUAGUCAACAGCUUUUCUGGAAAUAUGCUGAGUAUAGGAUUUUCUGCAUCUGUCAGGAGAUGGAAAAUUGGUUUGAGAUAUAUUAUAUUUUUGUUGUUUAAAAAAUACAGUUUUUUCUGUAGUAUGAUAUAUGUAUUUCUACACACACAAUGAUUGCUGUUGUAAAUAUUCCUUAAUAAUGACCGUACCCUCACUAGUUUCAAUUUUCAAACUACAGUUUUAUCAAAUCAAAUUGAAGCAGGUGGUGAACAUUGUAAUAAAUCCAAGAAUGGUAUAAUAGUUUUGGACAGUAAUAUAAUCACAUUAAAAAAUCUUGAAUUAUUUUAGGAAUGUCAUUCUUGUAUGAAUGAUAUAGGAUCAUGCAUUACAAAACGGACAUUGAAAUCAUCAUAGAAUCUUAUUUACAAUUUGAAUAUAAGACAACAGAUAUUUUCAUUAGUG